UACAGAGGUCUCGAGCGUUAUGCGGAAUCACUGGGCUUAAAGCGUGUGUAGGCGGUUCGUUAAGUACCUUGUGAAAUCCCACGGCUUAACCGUGGAACUGCCUUUGAUACUGGCGAUCUUGAGUCCGGGAGAGGUGAGUGGAACUGCGAGUGUAGAGGUGAAAUUCGUAGAUAUUCGCAAGAACACCAGUGGCGAAGGCGGCUCACUGGCCCGGUACUGACGCUGAGGUGCGAAAGCGUGGGGAGCAAACAGG
rnacentral:rRNA from 1 species